GAACGGGCACACACCCAUAGAAAAGCGCAUUCAUACCGACGGCGCCUCUGCCGUGACAUCCGCGCUACACCAGUGAUCGAAAGAAACCUCGAUUGGCAGAAGCGGGCGGCGGGCGGGGGUAUGCUUGUCAGCGAGUGUCCUGAGGCGCCAGCGAAGAACGUAUUGGAGCGUCGACCCUGCGAAGGCAGUCACUCAUUGAUAGAGAAGCUUACACGCUUACGCUCUGGAAAACACACUUGUAAGCGCACAGUCGGCUAUGGCGGAUCUUCGUGACGAGCUGGACGCCACGGUGCUCUUCGGCUCCGGAUAUGUGUGCGUUGUUGGCCCGCCGAGCAGUGGCAAGACUACCCUAAUCCUGGAGUAUCUGGUGGCGCGUGAGCGACAGGCCGUCCACAGUGGCGACGGCGACGCGGCACCCUUCUGCAUGGAGUAUGUGAGUGCGCGCAGUGCGCCGCAUGGGCUUCUGAGGCACUUGACACAUCGCCUGCUUCCCAAUGCCCGGCGACGGCGUCUCAGCUACGAGUGCAGCCCGUUGGAGUUCGGCGCGUCGCUCGUCGAGUGGGUGGAGGCGCACACAGGACAGUCGGAGCUGCACCUUGUCGUCGACGACGCCGACGCGUUGGAGUACAGUACAGAAGAGAUGAAUCUGUGGCUCUCACACUAUUUGCGCACUCCUGCCGAGCAGCGUUGCAUUGUUAUUUUGUGGUUGAUAUCGGAGCUGCCGUUGCGCCUGUCUAACUGCUUCCGGUACCACUUCAUUGCUCGACCGGAGGCGAAGAGCAUCGUGCAGUGGCUGCGCCAUCAGUUCGAAGAGCAGCGGCGACUCCUAGCUGGCCCCGAGUCGGAGGAGGACGACUCGGAACACACGGUGGACGCUGCCCUGACGACCACACUGAGUGCCGAUGAAGUGAACCGUGCCGUACUGGAUGCGUUCACUUAUUACGCGACGCAUCAGCCUAUGUGCUCUUCCGUUGUGAGCCGCGACGUUCGUCUGCUGGUUCAACGCGUGUACCAGAUCCUCCCGCCGCUGUUGCUGGAGGUGGCGGCGGCCGCAUCAGCGGUGCCAGGGAAGUCUGGAGAGGCGGCGGUAUCUGCGUCCACCACUACCGACGCAGUCAAGAGGCUGAAUGCACGCCACUUCGCCGCAGCCUGGAGCCAGUAUCGGAGCGAUGGUGGUGGUGGCAACUCAUCGGCGAUGGCUGUAUCUGGCGCCGCGGCGUCCGCGCAGAGCACGCUCGUGAUGGCCCUCAAGCGGCUGGGAUAUUCGGCGGUGCUCCUUGCCUUCGCCGCCUUCUACGGUGGGGCCGUGCCGAAACGCCAGCAGCACCAGGUGUUUGGUUGCAUGGGGAGUGGCGAGCGCCAGCCGCCCCUGUAUGAGGCGAAAGGUCAAUCGCACAAAGCCGCCGUUCUCUCCGCCUCUGCCCACGUCGUGACGUUACGCCGACUUAGUUUUCUUUACGACGCGAUGCUGAGAAUGUGUACGCCGUACAUUGACCCGCUCGAGUUUACAACGGCGGACGUGGCUCUGCAGUACGUGCAGGGCUUCGUUGCUUGGGGUUUGCUCACGCCAGUCGUCUCGCAGCGACACCGCUCUUACCACUGCUGGAUCCCGGUAAGCACUGCCCAGCAGCUGGCGCGUGAACUCUCACUGAGCCUGUUUGACCUCAUCCCCACCUGACGACUUGGAGUGGCAUGUUUCUGCUGUUUCUUUCCUUACUUGCCUGCCGCGCUGCCAUCCGUGCGGGUACGUCGGCGCCCUGAAAAGGGGGGCAGCUCACAUCCCAGAUGUUGUAUUCGCGCACUGGUGCAACUCUCUCUCUCUCUGCUUCACACGCAGGCUAACGAAAAAG
rnacentral:misc_RNA from 1 species